rnacentral:rRNA from 1 species
AUUGAACGCUGGCGGCAGGCUUAACACAUGCAAGUCGAGCGGGGUGAUGGUGCUUGCACUAUCACUUAGCGGCGGACGGGUGAGUAAUGCUUAGGAAUCCGCCUAUUAGUGGGGGACAACAUCUCGAAAGGGAUGCUAAUACCGCAUACGUCCUACGGGAGAAAGCAGGGGAUCACUUGUGACCUUGCGCUAAUAGAUGAGCCUAAGUCGGAUUAGCUAGUUGGUGGGGUAAAGGCCUACCAAGGCGACGAUCUGUAGCGGGUCUGAGAGGAUGAUCCGCCACACUGGGACUGAAACACGGCCCAGACUCCUACGGGAGGCAGCAGUGGGGAAUAUUGGACAAUGGGGGGAUCCCUGAUCCAGCCAUGCCGCGUGUGUGAAGAAGGCCUUAUGGUUGUAAAGCACUUUAAGCGAGGAGGAGGCUCUUUUGGUUAAUACCCAAGAUGAGUGGACGUUACUCGCAGAAUAAGCACCGGCUAACUCUAUGCCAGCAGCCGCCGUAA